GUCAAUCAACCACGUAAAGUCCUUUGGCUUCUUUGGCCUGAGUUGGUUAUUCUGCAAUAAACAAGAUUAAUCAGAAUCCAAUCAACACCAAGAAUUCGAAACCCUAGAUUUAUGAAGAAAUCGCACCUGAUCUCCAUUCUCCAUUGUUGCUUGUUGCAGAGACGUUCGCGAUAGCUUUGUUUCUUUGCGCGCCGAAGCCAAAACUUUUGCUCUAUUCUUUAUAAGCUAACUAGUGUAGGCCCCAUGCUACGCACGGAAAUAAUUUUUCUUGCGAAAAAAAAAAUCUUAGUUAUAUAUAUAAACUGUUAAAA
rnacentral:lncRNA from 1 species